rnacentral:lncRNA from 1 species
AUAUUGGUCUUUAGAUUUCUCUUUUUUGUAAUAACCAUUGUCUGAUUUUGGUAGAAGAGCAAACCUGAUCCCAAAGAUUGUUUGUAAAAUGUUUUCUUCUCCUCUCUUUUUUGAAUGAGUUUGUGGAAAAUUGGUAUUAUGUCUUUCUUAAAUUUGAAUAGACUACCACCAGUAAAGCCACCUGGGUUGAGGUUGUAUGUUCAUAUGUCUGUGUGUGUGUGUGUGUGUAUUUUGGUUUUAUUCUUUUUCUCAAUUGUUUUUCUACUUUCAAUUUUAUUGCUUCCUAUUUUUUUCUACUUACUUCAGGUUUCAAUUGCUUCUUGUUUUUCUAGUUUCUUAAGAUAAAAGCAUAUGC